ACUCCUACGGGAGGCAGCAGUGGGGAAUAUUGCACAAUGGGCGCAAGCCUGAUGCAGCCAUGCCGCGUGUGUGAAGAAGGCCUUCGGGUUGUAAAGCACUUUCAGUAGGGAGGAAGGUAGUGUAGUUAACACCUGCAUUAUUUGACGUUACCUACAGAAGAAGCACCGGCUAACUCCGUGCCAGCAGCCGCGGUAAUACGGAGGGUGCGAGCGUUAAUCGGAAUUACUGGGCGUAAAGCGCAUGCAGGCGGCCUGUUAAGUCAGAUGUGAAAGCCCGGGGCUUAACCUCGGAAUUGCAUUUGAAACUGGCAGGCUAGAGUCUUGUAGAGGGGGGUAGAAUUUCAGGUGUAGCGGUGAAAUGCGUAGAGAUCUGAAGGAAUACCAGUGGCGAAGGCGGCCCCCUGGACAAAGACUGACGCUCAGAUGCGAAAGCGUGGGGAGCAAACAGGAUUAGAUACCCUGGUA
rnacentral:rRNA from 1 species